AGGGAUUCCAGAAACGCAGGUUCCUGCCUCUCUGCCCGAGGUCUGGCAGAGCAGGUGGUCUCAGUGUGGUUUGAUGGAGGAGCAAAGGCAUUCCAGAUUCAGAACAGCUUCCUGUUCUGCUCACAGCAGCCUCAAAGUCGAUUGAAAGUUUCUGGCAAAAUACAAAUUAUUUCCUGGGAGGAGAGGGCAGUUCCCCUACAGUCUCUUGC
rnacentral:lncRNA from 1 species